rnacentral:rRNA from 1 species
CCUACGGGAGGCAGCAGUGAGGAAUAUUGGUCAAUGGGCGCGAGCCUGAACCAGCCAAGUAGCGUGAAGGAUGACGGCCCUACGGGUUGUAAACUUCUUUUAUAAAGGAAUAAAGUGAGGCACGUGUGCGUUGUUGUAUGUACUUUAUGAAUAAGGAGCGGCUAACUCCGUGCCAGCAGCCGCGGUAAUACGGAGGAUCCGAGCGUUAUCCGGAUUUGUUGGGUUUAAAGGGAGCGUAGAUGGGUUGUUAAGGCAGUUGUGAACGUUUGCGGCUCAACCGUAAAAUUGCAAUUGAUACUGGCAGUCUUGAGUACAGUUGAGGUAGGCGGACUUCGUGGUGUAGCGG